AGAUUGAACGCUGGCGGCAGGCCUAACACAUGCAAGUCGAGCGGAAACAGAGAGUAACUUGUUACUUUGCUGUCGAGCGGCGGACGGGUGAGUAAUGCUUGGGAAACUGCCCAGUCGAGGGGGACAACCAUUGGAAACGAUGGCUAAUACCGCAUACGCCCUACGGGGGAAAGAAGGGGACUCUUCGGAGCCUUUCGCGAUUGGAUGUGCCCAAGUGGGAUUAGCUAGUUGGUGAGGUAAAGGCUCACCAAGGCGACGAUCCCUAGCUGGUUUGAGAGGAUGAUCAGCCACACUGGAACUGAGACACGGUCCAGACUCCUACGGGAGGCAGCAGUGGGGAAUAUUGCACAAUGGGCGCAAGCCUGAUGCAGCCAUGCCGCGUGUAUGAAGAAGGCCUUCGGGUUGUAAAGUACUUUCAGCGAGGAGGAAAGGGUAUAGCUUAAUACGCUGUAUCUGUGACGUUACUCGCAGAAGAGGGACCGGCUAACUCCGUGCCAGCAGCCGCGGUAAUACGGAGGGUCCGAGCGUUAAUCGGAAUUACUGGGCGUAAAGCGUACGCAGGCGGUUUGUUAAGCGAGAUGUGAAAGCCCCGGGCUCAACCUGGGAACUGCAUUUCGAACUGACAAACUAGAGUUUUGUAGAGGGUGGUAGAAUUUCAGGUGUAGCGGUGAAAUGCGUAGAGAUCUGAAGGAAUACCAGUGGCGAAGGCGGCCACCUGGACAAUAACUGWCKYUCAUGUACGAAMGCGUGGGGAGCMAACGGKAUUAKAUACCCCGGUAGUCCWCGCCGUAMACGAUGYCAACUAGCCGACUGGCGCCUUGAGCGCUGGGUGGCGCAGCUAACGCAUUAAGUUGACCGCCUGGGGAGUACGGCCGCAAGGUUA
rnacentral:rRNA from 1 species